UACGAAGGGGGCGAGCGUUGUUCGGAUUUACUGGGCGUAAAGGGCGCGUAGGCGGCCCUCUUUGUCGCGUGUGAAAGCCCCGGGCUCAACCUGGGAAUUGCGCGCGAAACGGGGGGGCUUGAGUUCGGGAGAGGAGCGUGGAAUUCCCAGUGUAGAGGUGAAAUUCGUAGAUAUUGAGAGGAACACCGGUGGCGAAGGCGGCGAUCUGGACGAUGACUGACGCUGAGACGCGAAAGCGUGGGGAGCAAACAGG
rnacentral:rRNA from 1 species